AUAUUGGACAAUGGGCGAAACCCUGAUCCAGCCAUGCCGCGUGUGUGAAGAAGGUCUNNNGAUUGNACAGCACUUUAAGUUGGNAGGNAGAGUUGUAGGCUAAUACCUUGCAAUUUUGACGUUACCAACAGAAUAAGCACCGGCUAACUUCGUGCCAGCAGCCGCGGUAAUACGAAGGGUGCAAGCGUUAAUCGGAAUUACUGGGCGUAAAGCGCGCGUAGGUGGUUCGUUAAGUUGGAAGUGAAAGCCCCGGGCUCAACCUGGGAACUGCUUUCAAAACUGGCAAGCUAGAGUAUGGCAGAGGGUGGUGGAAUUUCCUGUGUAGCGGUGAAAUGCGUAGAUAUAGGAAGGAACACCAGUGGCGAAGGCGACCACCUGGGCUAAUACUGACACUGAGGUGCGAAAGCGUGGGGAGCAAACAGG
rnacentral:rRNA from 1 species